rnacentral:hammerhead_ribozyme from 1 species
ACCCGGCUGACGAGUCUCAAAUAGGACGAAACGCGAGUCCUGAAU